UAGAGGUUAAGUUAAUGAUAGUUCUCCUUCAGUUUUGGUUUGACAAGCAAAAAUAGAGAUACCUAUCCACAAUAUACCAUACAAUACAGGGUUUCCCAGACAA